rnacentral:rRNA from 1 species
AGAGUUCGAUCCUGGCUCAGGACGAACGCUGGCGGCGCGCUUAACACAUGCAGGUCGAGCGGUAAGGCCCCUUCGGGGGUACACGAGCGGCGAACGGGUGAGUAACACGUGAGCAAUCUGCCCUUCACAUCGGGAUAACCUCGGGAAACCGAAGCUAAUACCGGAUACGACCAUCGAUGGCAUCUUCUGAUGGUGGAAAGUUCCGGCGGUGAAGGAUGAGCUCGCGGCCUAUCAGCUUGUUGGUGGGGUAAUGGCCUACCAAGGCGACGUCGGGUAGCCGGCCUGAGAGGGUGACCGGCCACACUGGGACUGAGACACGGCCCAGACUCCUACGGGAGGCAGCUGGGGAAUAUUGGACAAUGGGCGAAAGCCUGAUCCAGCAACGCCGCGUGAGGGAUGACGGCCUUCGGGUUGUAAACCUCUUUCAGCAGGGACGAAGCGAAAGUGACGGUACCUGCAAAAGAAGCACCGGCCAACUACGUGCCAGCAGCCGCGGUAAUACGUAGGGUGCAAGCGUUGUCCGGAAUUAUUGGGCGUAAAGGGCUCGUAGGCGGUCCAUCGCGUCGGGAGUGAAAAGCUGGGGCUUAACCCCAGUCCUGCUUCCGAUACGGGUGGACUAGAGGUAGGUAGGGGAGAUCGGAAUUCCUAGUGUAGCGGUGAAAUGCGCAGAUAUUAGGAGGAACACCGGUGGCGAAGGCGGAUCUCUGGGCCUUACCUGACGCUGAGGAGCGAAAGCAUGGGGAGCAAACAGGAUUAGAUACCCUGGUAGUCCAUGCCGUAAACGUUGGGCGCUAGGUGUGAGGGACAUUCCACGUCCUUUGUGCCGCAGCUAACGCAUUAAGCGCCCCGCCUGGGGAGUACGGCCGCAAGGCUAAAACUCAAAGGAAUUGACGGGGGCCCGCACAAGCGGCGGAGCAUGCGGAUUAAUUCGAUGCAACGCGAAGAACCUUACCUGGAUUUGACAUAUAGGGAAAUCUGUCAGAGACGGCAGGUCCGUAAGGGCCCUAUACAGGUGGUGCAUGGCUGCCGUCAGCUCGUGUCGUGAGAUGUUGGGUUAAGUCCCGCAACGAGCGCAGCCCUCGUCCUAUGUUGCCAGCACGUAAUGGUGGGGACUCUUAGGAGACUGCCGGGGUAACUCGGAGGAAGGUGGGGAUGAGGUCAAGUCAUCAUGCCCCUUAUGUCCAGGGCUUCACGCAUGCUACAAUGGCCGGUACAAAGGGCUGCGAAACCGCAAGGUGGAGCGAAUCCCAAAAAGCCGGUCUCAGUUCGGAUUGGGGUCUGCAACUCGACCCCAUGAAGUCGGAGUCGCUAGUAAUCGCAGAUCAGCAACGCUGCGGUGAAUACGUUCCCGGGCCUUGUACACACCGCCCGUCACGUCACGAAAGUCGGCAACACCCGAAGCCAGUGGCCCAACCCUUGUGGGGGGAGCUGUCGAAGGUGGGGCUGGCGAUUGGGACGAAGUCGAAACAAGGUA